rnacentral:rRNA from 1 species
UACGAAGGGGGCUAGCGUUGCUCGGAAUCACUGGGCGUAAAGCGCACGUAGGCGGAUUGUUAAGUCAGGGGUGAAAUCCUGGAGCUCAACUCCAGAACUGCCUUUGAUACUGGCGAUCUUGAGUCCGGGAGAGGUGAGUGGAACUGCGAGUGUAGAGGUGAAAAUUCGUAGAUAUUCGCAAGAACACCAGUGGCGAAAGGCGGCUCACUGGCCCGGUACUGACGCUGAGGUGCGAAAGCGUGGGGAGCAAACAGGG